rnacentral:rRNA from 1 species
AAUAGAUACCCGGGUAGUCCACGCCGUAAACGAUGAGUGCUAAGUGUUAGAGGGUUUCCGCCCUUUAGUGCUGCAGCUAACGCAUUAAGCACUCCGCCUGGGGAGUACAGCCGCAAGGCUGAAACUCAAAGGAAUUGACGGGGGCCCGCACAAGCGGUGGAGCAUGUGGUUUAAUUCGAAGCAACGCGAAGAACCUUACCAGGUCUUGACAUCCUCUGACAACCCUAGAGAUAGGGCUUUCCCCUUCGGGGGACAGAGUGACAGGUGGUGCAUGGUUGUCGUCAGCUCGUGUCGUGAGAUGUUGGGUUAAGUCCCGCAACGAGCGCAACCCUUGAUCUUAGUUGCCAGCAUUCAGUUGGGCACUCUAAGGUGACUGCCGGUGACAAACCGGAGGAAGGUGGGGAUGACGUCAAAUCAUCAUGCCCCUUAUGACCUGGGCUACACACGUGCUACAAUGGAUGGUACAAAGGGCUGCAAACCUGCGAAGGUAAGCGAAUCCCAUAAAGCCAUUCUCAGUUCGGAUUGCAGG